rnacentral:rRNA from 1 species
ACGGGAGGCAGCAGUGGGGAAUAUUGCACAAUGGGCGAAAGCCUGAUGCAGCAACGCCGCGUGAGGGACGACGGCCUUCGGGUUGUAAACCUCUUUUAGCAGGGAAGAAGCGAAAGUGACGGUACCUGCAGAAAAAGCGCCGGCUAACUACGUGCCAGCAGCCGCGGUAAUACGUAGGGCGCAAGCGUUAUCCGGAAUUAUUGGGCGUAAAGAGCUCGUAGGCGGUUUGUCGCGUCUGCUGUGAAAUCCCGAGGCUCAACCUCGGGCCUGCAGUGGGUACGGGCAGACUAGAGUGCGGUAGAGGAGAUUGGAAUUCCUGGUGUAGCGGUGGAAUGCGCAGAUAUCAGGAGGAACACCGAUGGCGAAGGCAGAUCUCUGGGCCGUAACUGACGCUGAGGAGCGAAAGGGUGGGGAGCAAACAGGCUUAGAUACCCUGGUAGUCCACCCCGUAAACGUUGGGAACUAGUUGUGGGGUCCAUUCCACGGAUUCCGUGACGCAGCUAACGCAUUAAGUUCCCCGCCUGGGGAGUACGGCCGCAAGGCUAAAACUCAAAGGAAUUGACGGGGACCCGCACAAGCGGCGGAGCAUGCGGAUUAAUUCGAUGCAACGCGAAGAACCUUACCAAGGCUUGACAUAUACGAGAACGGGCCAGAAAUGGUCAACUCUUUGGACACUCGUAAACAGGUGGUGCAUGGUUGUCGUCAGCUCGUGUCGUGAGAUGUUGGGUUAAGUCCCGCAACGAGCGCAACCCUCGUUCUAUGUUGCCAGCACGUCAUGGUGGGAACUCAUGGAAUACUGCCGGGGUCAACUCGGAGGAAGGUGAGGAUGACGUCAAAUCAUCAUGCCCCUUAUGUCUUGGGCUUCACGCAUGCUACAAUGGCCGGUACAAUGGGCUGCAAUACCGCAAGGUGGAGCGAAUCCCAAAAAGCCGGUCCCAGUUCGGAUUGAGGUCUGCAACUCGACCUCAUGAAGUCGGAGUCGCUAGUAAUCGCAGAUCAGCAACGCUGCGGUGAAUACGUUCCCGGGUCUUGUACACACCGCCCGUCAAGUCAUGAAAGUCGGUAACACCUGAAGCCGGUGGCCCAACCC